CCAACGGCCCUCUUUAGGGCCACAAAACCCAAUAAUCCUAACCAUUU
rfam:Caenorhabditis brenneri strain PB2801 C_brenneri-6.0.1_Cont465.1, whole genome shotgun sequence.